GCACAAUCUCUAGGAAACAGGAGAAAUUUUCUCAGUUACUCUAAAUAUGUAACAAUAAGUAAAAUCCGCAACUUAUAACUGUGCCGUUCAUUUCUCACUGAAUGCUGCUUUGCAAUUCUCACACUCCCUGAAGCAGUACGUCAGUUCCCCAUAUUUCACUUUCCCGCAGGCUUGACUUGGCAAGCUUUAAAGGGCACUGGUGGGAUCACACACAAGAGGGUGUUGCUUAUGUGGGAGGCGCAUGCACAUACCGAAGAGUUGCUCUUGGUGAAGACAAAAUCCUGACGUACAAAGGCGUUCGUGUAGCUACCCAUGAAUUUGGACACCUGUUCGGCUGUCCGCAUGACGGCGAAAAGCACAAGAACUUCAGCUCAGGAAGGAUGUUCCAGGGGUGAUGGGUACAUCAUGUCCUACGUUCAGCACAACAGCAGAAGCCUGAAGUUUUCGUCAUGCUGCGAUAAGAUGAUACACCAGUAUGUCAAUUCGGAAGCUGGCAGCUGCUUACGUAGAAGAAAUACCAAGAGAAAAAUAAAGAAAGCCAACUUCACUUCAAGCCUUGCGGGGGAGACCGUAGGGAGAGACCAGUUUGUAAGCUUACUUUUCCCGACGCUGAAGGCUCAUAUGUCUUGUCGGAGGAUGUAGGAAAGUGCCACGUUUCCUGCUAUGUGCCUGACUACGUUGAAAGCAGAGGAUUUAGAAAAGUCUUCCUUCCAGACAACUCCUGGUGUAACGAAAACAACGGUACUGUCUGCAGAAAUGGCGACUGCGUUCAGAGGAAGUUGAAGUAUGCAGAGUACCAGCCAACGAAAUGAACAAGC